CGCAAGCCUGACGGAGCAACGCCGCGUGUGGGAAGAAGGCUCUUGGGCUGUCAACCACUUUUCUCAGGGAAGAAGCCCUGACGGUACCUGAGGAAUCAGCCUCGGCUAACUCCGUGCCAGCAGCCGCGGUAAUACGGAGGAGGCAAACGUUAUCCGGAAUUAUUGGGCGUAAAGCGUCCGCAGGGGGCACAUCAAGUCUGCUGUUAAAGGCUGGAGCUUAACUCCGGUAGAGCAGUGGAAACUGGUGUGCUAGAGGGCGACAGGGGUAGAGGGAAUUCCCAGUGUAGCGGUGAAAUGCGUAGAGAUUGGGAAGAACACCGGCGGCGAAAGCGCUCUACUGGGUCGCACCUGACCCUCAGGGACGAAAGCUAAGGUAGCG
rnacentral:rRNA from 1 species